rnacentral:rRNA from 1 species
AUUGAACGCUGGCGGCAGGCUUAACACAUGCAAGUCGAGCGAGCGGCGGACGGGUGAGUAAUGUCUGGGAAACUGCCUGAUGGAGGGGGAUAACUACUGGAAACGGUAGCUAAUACCGCAUACCAUCAGAUGUGCCCAGAUGGGAUUAGCUAGUAGGUGGGGAAAAGGCUCACUUAGGCGACGAUCCCUAGCUGGUCUGAGAGGAUGACCAGCAACACUGGAACUGAGAAACGUUCCAGACGCCUACGGGAGGCAGCAGUGGGGAGUAUGGCACAAUGGGCGCAAGCCGUAUGCAGCCAGGCCGCGUGUGGGAAGAAGGCCUUCGGGUUGUAAAGCACUUUCAGCGAGGAGGCGUUACUCGCAGAAGAAGCACCGGCUAACGCCGUGCCAGCAGCCGCGGUAAUAC